rnacentral:lncRNA from 1 species
CACCCUCAAACAAGAGAAAACAAAAUCUCAAACCCCGUUGCUCACCGUUUCCAGGAAAUGUGUCAUUCAACCCAGAAACCAUAGCAAAACGUUGCACACCAGUUUGAGCUUGAACGUGCCCCAGGUAAACGUGUCGUUAAAUCCAUUUAAAAGUCCAUUUCUGGCUCUGUUUUUAACAGACAGGUUCCUGUUUUUCUGGCAGCUUCCUGACGAGUGAAAGGUGACAAUCGUGCUCAUUCUACAGGAUUCACUCUUAAAGCUUUUUUCUGCGGGUUCUUGUGUGUUCAGUAUGGCUACGGUAGGAGUGGAUGUGAUGGAGACCGCAGCUCUAGGGAGAUCCUUCCAGCUGGGGAUGCUGUACGACUGCAGGAAAGAUGCUCUUAUACCAGGUACCUUACCGUAGUGAAAAUACAUUUGGGAUACACUUCAGUGAAAUGCAUCAUUGUUUCAGCUGUUUAAACUGAAACAUCUGUUAUAAUGCUUGAUGUUGCAAACUGGUAUUUCAUAUAAUAUACUGUAAAUAUAUAUAUACUAUAUAUAUAUAUAUAUAUAUAUAUACAUACACA